AACGAACGCUGGCGGCAUGCCUAACACAUGCAAGUCGAACGAGACCUUCGGGUCUAGUGGCGCACGGGUGCGUAACGCGUGGGAACCUGCCCUUAGGUUCGGAAUAACUCCCCGACAGGGGUGCUAAUACCGGAUAAUGUCUUCGGACCAAAGAUUUAUCGCCUUUGGUUGGGCCCGCGUUGGAUUAGCUAGUUGGUAGGGUAAAAGCCUACCAAGGCGACGAUCCAUAGCUGGUCUGAGAGGAUGCUCAGCCACACUGGGACUGAGACACGGCCCAGACUCCUACGGGAGGCAGCAGUGGGGAAUAUUGGACAAUGGGCGAAAGCCUGAUCGAGCAAUGCCGCGUGAGUGAUGAAGGCCUUAGGGUUGUAAAGCUCUUUUACCCGGGAUGAUAAUGACAGUACCGGGAGAAUAAGCUCCGGCUAACUCCGUG
rnacentral:rRNA from 1 species